rnacentral:rRNA from 1 species
AAACUAAUUCAGUUUGGCGGCAUUUCAUCUAUUUAGAGGAAUUUGUCCUUUAAUCGAUAAUCCACGUUAAAUUUUACUUUAAUUUAAAACUUAUAUACCGCCAUCUUAAGAAUUAUUUUAAAAACAUUCUCUCAAUAAAUAAUAAAAAGUUAGGUCAAGGUGUAAUCUAUAUUAAAGAAUCGAUGAAUUACAUUAAAUAAUAUUUAAAGAUUACUAAUAAAUAUAUAAGUAUUAAUAAGAAUUUAAAAGUAAUAUAUUGAAUAAUAAUAAUAUAUGAUAAAGAUAAUAAAUGUGCACACAUCGCCC